UACAGAGGUCUCAAGUGUUGUUCGGAAUUAUUGGGCGUAAAGGGUGCGCAGGCCGCUUGUUAAGUUAAUGGUUAAAUUGCUAGGCUCAACCUAGUACUCGCCUUUAAUACUGACAAGCUAGGGAUUUUGAGAGGGUUGCCGGAAUUUACGGUGUAGCAGUGAAAUGCGUAGAUAUCGUGAGGAAGACCAAUGGCGAAAGCAGGAACCUGGAAAUAAUCCGACGCUCAUGCACGAAGGCCAAGGGAGCAAACGGG
rnacentral:rRNA from 1 species